rnacentral:rRNA from 1 species
GUUUGAUCAUGGCUCAGGAUGAACGCUAGCGGCAGGCCUAACACAUGCAAGUCGAGGGGCAGCAUGAAAUAGCUUGCUAUUUUGAUGGCGACCGGCGCACGGGUGCGUAACGCGUAUGCAACCUACCUUAUACUGGAGUAUAGCCCGGAGAAAUCCGGAUUAAUCCUCCAUAGUACUGAGCCACCGCAUGGUGAAUCAGUUAAAGUUUCGGCGGUAUAAGAUGGGCAUGCGUCCUAUUAGCUAGAUGGUAAGGUAACGGCUUACCAUGGCUACGAUAGGUAGGGGGCCUGAGAGGGUGGUCCCCCACACUGGUACUGAGACACGGACCAGACUCCUACGGGAGGCAGCAGUGAGGAAUAUUGGUCAAUGGGCGCAAGCCUGAACCAGCCAUGCCGCGUGCAGGAAGAAUGUCCUAUGGAUUGUAAACUGCUUUUAUUUGGGAAUAAACCUUCGAACGUGUUCGAAGCUGAAGGUACCAAAUGAAUAAGCACCGGCUAACUCCGUGCCAGCAGCCGCGGUAAUACGGAGGGUGCAAGCGUUAUCCGGAAUCAUUGGGUUUAAAGGGUCCGCAGGCGGGCAUAUAAGUCAGUGGUGAAAGCCUACAGCUCAACUGUAGAACUGCCAUUGAUACUGUAAGUCUUGAAUUCGGUCGAAGUGGGCGGAAUGUGUAGUGUAGCGGUGAAAUGCAUAGAUAUUACACAGAACACCGAUAGCGAAGGCAGCUCACUAGGCCUGGAUUGACGCUCAGGGACGAAAGCGUGGGGAUCAAACAGGAUUAGAUACCCUGGUAGUCCACGCUGUAAACGAUGAUUACUCGUUUUCGGCGAUAUACAGUCGGAGACUAAGCGAAAGUGAUAAGUAAUCCACCUGGGGAGUACGAUCGCAAGGUUGAAACUCAAAGGAAUUGACGGGGGCCCGCAC